AUGUUUUUCUGCUUUGAAGUGCGCACACAGUCAUUCGGUCAACAAGUCAUUUAACUGAGUGGCAUGGUGGGAAGCAGGAGCGGUUCCUGUGUCCACAGACAAAGCACUCCACCUGUUGGAACUGGCUUUUGCAUUAAGAAACUAGGCUUGAAAUGUUCAUAAAGCCGAGUUCUUGGACAAACGAGACGAUAUCUAUCUGUUAACAGGUUCUUGGAUGUGGAUGGCAGCAGGUCUUUCUAGUUUGCCUCUUGGACCUCCUAAAACAAGACAUGGCGCUCACUUUCUGAGAAUAUCAAUUUGUUUAAUGCCCAUGAGCUACAGAGCCCAAAGUCCACUGAGUGGAGCUGUACACAGACAGACACCUACAAUGAAGGGCAAUGAACGCAAGCCACAGAAUCUUGCACAAGGUAGUUGGAAAGAGCAAACAAGGACCCCUGCCAACACAGAGGUGUCCGAGGAAGGCUUCUCGGAGGAGGUGGGACUGUGGCUGGCUUCACAGGCUGAAUAAAUAUCAUGGGGAAAGGACCGUCCUGGGCAAAGUCAUAGAAGGUUGGUACGGUUUCUCAUGACUGAGGAGUGAGCUGCAAAACCAUCAAGGGAAUUUGGUAAGCUGACUUGAAAUUUGAUCAUUCUUUUCAGCAAAUUGAUUGUUUCCAAUAGUAGAAAUCGAUGUUUCCAGAAUAAAAAUAGAAAAAUGCUGUAAUGUUUUCUGCGACAAAAACUGUAAAAUUUGCAACAGUUCCUUGAACAAGCAAUGGCUUACUUGAACAGUAUGAGUCAACAGCAAUAAAUUCUUAAAGGACACAAGGCAAAAUCUGUCUAACUAGAACUGUGGUGGGUUGAAUGAUAGACGUCAGAGAUUUGAAUGUCUGAUCCCCAAUGGGUGGUGCUGUUUGGGGAGGCUUAGGAAGUGUGACCUUAGUGGAAAAAGCAUGUCAGGGCCAGGUUUGAGUAUCAGAUCCUGUGUCAGUUCCAGUGUCUGAGUUUAAGACUUGAACUCUCAGCCUCCAGCUCUAGCAACCAUAUCUGCUGCCAGCUGCCAUGUUGUCCCCAUCACUAUAGACCCUAACCCUACUGAACUGUAAACACAAGUAGACCAUUUCUUCUCUGUUUGCCUUGGUCAUGUGUUUUAUCAGAGCAUAGAGAAGUAACUAAGA